GCCCUUUUGCUUUCGAGUAACAAAGUAAAGCAAAUUGACCCUCAGUGUGGGUGUGGCUCCUCUUAUCAGUGAAGAGAUGAACAGAAAAGUUGACUGACUUGAACUGAACACUGGCUGUUCCUAAGUCUCAAGCUUGCCAGACUGCACACAGGAACUAAACCGGUGUGAGUUUAGCAACUCUUCUAGGUCUUCAGCUUGCUGACUCACCCUGAAGAUCUUGGCACUUGCCCAUCUCAUCACUGUAUAUAAUCAUGCUUAAACAAAGACAGGAAUGUCAAUAGACUUAUAGCGUCCAGAACGAGGGCAUUGAUGACAGCAUCUAUUUUGCACUGCCCCGCCGUUCAAAUGAACUGUACACCCAUUAAGAGAUAUAUCAGCUAAAUGAAGUCCACAGAUUCACAUUAUAUUAGGGAGAAAAUGUUUUCUACUCUGCCCUCCCUUCUCUCCUCUGUUCCACAACAGCUAGUCUCAUAUGCUCCCAAUCUGCUACAUCUCAAAAUCUGCCUGACCAUGAGUCAUUGGUUGAAUGGACAACACUGAUGCUGUGCAUUGUAAUGAGUCCUUUCCUGCGUGAAACACAUCAUCUACAUAAACUCCU